rnacentral:rRNA from 1 species
AAGUCGAGGGGCAGCGCGGGGCGGCAACGUCCUGGCGGCGACCGGCGGAAGGGUGCGUAACGCGUGAGCGACAUGCCCGUUGCCCGUGGACAACCGGUGGAAACGCCGACUAAUCCACGAUGGGAUAUUGUGCCGCAUGGCACGAUAUUGAAAGUUACGGCGGCGACGGAUUGGCUCGCGUCCGAUUAGCUUGUUGGCGGGGUAACGGCCCACCAAGGCUGCGAUCGGUAGGGGUUCUGAGAGGAAGGCCCCCACAAUGGGACUGAGACACGGCCCAUACUCC